CAACUUUGGAAGAACAGCUGGAGGGCCUUUUAUCACUACCAGCUAUGACUAUGAUGCUCCUAUUGAUGAAUAUGGCUUGAUUAGGCAGCCAAAGUAUGACCAUUUGAAGGAGCUUCAUAAGGCUGUCAAGUUAUGUGAACCAGCACUAAUUUCUGCUGAUCCUACCGUUACUGUCUUAGGGAACUAUGAACAGGCACAUGUAUUUUCUUCCGGCUCUGGACAUUGUGCUGCUUUUCUUGCAAAUUACCAUUUGAGUUCAACUGCAAGGGUGACAUUUAGGCACCAACAUUACGAUCUGCCACCUUGGUCAAUAAGCAUUCUUCCAGAUUGUAAAAAUGUUGUAUAUAAUACUGCCAGGGUUGGAGUCAAGACAUCCACUGCACAAAUGCUGCCCACAAAUGUACAACUGCGCACUUGGGAAACAUUUAGCGAAGAUGUAUCCACCAUUGACGCGGAUUCAAAGUUCACUGUUGUUGGUCUGUUGGAGCAAUUAAAUGUUACCAGGGAUAUGAGUGACUACCUUUGGUACACCACUAGCGUCGAGAUAAAUUCAGCUGAAUCAUUUCUACACCGAGGGCAACAUCCUACUCUUGCUGUGCAGUCAGCAGGCCAUGCCUUGCACGUUUAUGUUAAUGGACGGCUUUCAGGUUCAGUUUAUGGAAACCGAGAAAACCGAAGAGUUACAUUUACAGGAGGUGUUAACCUGCAUGCUGGAAUAAACAGAAUUUCUCUACUCAGUGUAGCUGUUGGAUUGCCGAACAACGGAGCACGUUAUGAGACAUGGAGUGCAGGAGUCCUUGGGCCAGUCGUUCUUCAUGGGCUAGACAAGGGUCAAAGGGACUUAUCAUGGCAGAAAUGGUCAUAUCAGGUGGGGUUGAGAGGCGAGGCCAUGAACUUGGCUUCAUAUGCAAUAUCUGCUGCUGAAUGGGUAGGAGGCUCUUUGAUUGCAAGACAGCGACAACCUCUUACAUGGUACAAGGUAUAUUUCAAUGCACCAGGAGGAAGUGAUCCAUUAGCACUGGACAUGGGUAGUAUGGGAAAAGGUCAAGUAUGGAUCAAUGGACAGAGCAUUGGAAGAUACUGGACCGCUUAUGCCACUGGUAACUGCAGUCCUUGUACUUAUGCAGCUACAUACAGACAAGGAAAGUGCCAAUCUGGUUGCGGCCAGCCAACUCAAAGAUGGUACCACGUUCCUCGAUCUUGGUUGAAGCCAACUGGGAACUUGCUGGUAGUUUUUGAGGAGAUAGGUGGGGAUGCAUCAAAGAUUUCUCUUGUCAAACGGUCAAUUACACAUGUAUAGAUAUGAUAUUAUUUAGGUACCACUAAUUAGAAAGUAAAGUUUGGUCUCAUAGAACGAAAUAGUUCAAUGAAAAAACUCCUAUGCUAGUUUUUUCAGCAAUAAUUAGCUUAUUUGCUUUGCAAAAUUAUCUUUGUUCAAAAUACGGUUGCAAUGCCACUGCUUGUCUUCCUCAUCAGUGUAUAUAUAUUUACAAGUUAUUGUUGGAAAAAAG
rnacentral:misc_RNA from 1 species